CGUAAGAUAAGCAUUCACUUUAAAGAGUAGAUUUUAAUGUUGCACAAAGCUUCAGAUUUCCAAAUUUGAGGCAAUUUUGUGUUCUGUUUUGGGGUGAUAUUAAACCUGAAAUGAAUGCCAGAAGCUGGCUAAAUUACAACAAAAGAGAACUCUUCGUGCAGUGAAUGUCAGGAAGCAGCCAGGCAUCUCUGUGCACCCUGUGCUUUCCGCCCUUCCCAACAGCUAUAAGUGAGGGGCUAGUACCCCAUUUCACAGAUGAGAAAAUGGCUUCAGGGAGUCAAGGUUGCACAUGUAGUCACAGACCAAGUCAAAUCCAGCUUCCUGCUGAUACAAUUCCCUUCCUGUAUCCUGCUUAGCUUCUGGCCUAAGAUGCUGCAAUUGCCAGAUCAGAUGCUCCGUGAGGAUCACCUGCAGGCGCCCCCUUCAGGCAGCGCCUCAGUACUGUCGCAGAAAUUUGGGGCCAUGUAGAUGAACCUGGAUCCAGCAGAACUGGAUGGACUCUCCAGAGAUCUCCAGCAACUUCUAGACCAGGCUGCAGCCUACAUAACUCAGGGAUGAGGGUAGGGCAGUUAAGAAGUUAGUGGAGUAUGUGUGUGUGUGUGUGGGGGGGGGUACAAUCCACAAAGCAUUUUAUGUAAAUGGAACCCCCUGGAGUACUACAAAGGACCCUAGGACAUGUGUCUCCAUGUCCCGUGCCCUUACCCCAGCUUCCGCCCUAGCCUAACUUCGCUAUAAUUAGCACCUAGCACUUAUAUCAGCACCUGGCACUGGACCUGGCCGGUUAAGGCACUAGAUAAAUACUUGUUGAAUAUAUA
rnacentral:lncRNA from 12 species